AGCGAACGCUGGCGGCAGGCUUAACACAUGCAAGUCGAACGGGCAUAGCAAUAUGUCAGUGGCAGACGGGUGAGUAACGCGUGGGAACAUACCUCUUGGUUCGGAACAACACAGGGAAACUUGUGCUAAUACCGGAUAAGCCCUUACGGGAAAGAUUUAUCGCCGAGAGAUUGGCCCGCGUCUGAUUAGCUAGUUGGUAGGGUAAUGGCCUACCAAGGCGACGAUCAGUAGCUGGUCUGAGAGGAUGAUCAGCCACAUUGGGACUGAGACACGGCCCAAACUCCUACGGGAGGCAGCAGUGGGGAAUAUUGGACAAUGGGCGCAAGCCUGAUCCAGCCAUGCCGCGUGAGUGAUGAAGGCCCUAGGGUUGUAAAGCUCUUUUGUACGGGAAGAUAAUGACGGUACCGUAAGAAUAAGCCCCGGCUAACUUCGUGCCAGCCGCCGCAGUAAG
rnacentral:rRNA from 1 species